rnacentral:rRNA from 1 species
AAAGAGCCGCGGUAUUUUGACCGUGCAAAGGUAGCAUAAUCAUUAGUCUCUUAAUUAGAGGCUGGAAUGAAUGGCUUGACGAGAAAUCAACUGUCUCUUAAUAAAUUUUAGAAUUUAACUUUUGAGUCAAAAGGCUUAAAUUUUUCUUUAGGACGAGAAGACCCUAUAGAGCUUGACAUUUUAUUUAUAUAUAAUUUUAAGAUGGUCUUUUUAUAUUUAAUGAUAAUGUUUUGUUGGGGUGACAUGAAGAAUUAAUAAACUCUUCAUUAUUAAAUCAUUAAUUUAUGUUUAUUUUGAUCCAUAAUUUAUGAUCAAAAGAUUAAGUUACCUUAGGGAUAACAGCGUAAUUGUUUUUGAGAGCUCAUAUCGACAAAGCAGAUUGCGACCUCGAUGUUGGAUUAAGAAAAGUUUUGGGUGCAGUAGCCCAGUAAUUAGGUCUGUUCGACCUUUAAAUUCUUACG